UACGAAGGGGGCUAGCGUUGCUCGGAAUCACUGGGCGUAAAGGGUGCGUAGGCGGGUCUUUUAAGUCAGGGGUGAAAUCCUGGAGCUCAACUCCAGAACUGCCUUUGAUACUGAAGAUCUUGAGUUCGGGAGAGGUGAGUGGAACUGCGAGUGUAGAGGUGAAAUUCGUAGAUAUUCGCAAGAACACCAGUGGCGAAGGCGGCUCACUGGCCCGGUACUGACGCUGAGACGCGAAAGCGUGGGGAGCAAACAGG
rnacentral:rRNA from 1 species